CCUCAGCCAGCGCUGCAGGCUUGGGAAUUACCCACAGAAACAACUCAAUUAAGCUUCACUUUCCUGCUCCUGGUCAAGACAGAACGUCAGGUCUCCAGAGCUGCAACUAAAUCAUACAAUCAUUAAGGUUGGAAAAGACCUUUAAGAUCACCUAGCCCAACCGUUCACCCACCACCAAUAUUUCCCCACUAAACCAUGUCCAUUAGUACAAUAUCUACAUGUUUCUUGAACCCCUCCAGGGACGGUGACCCAGCCACCCCCCUGAGCAGCC
ensembl:lncRNA